GCCGGUUUGGCCCAGUGGUAAGGCAUCUGUCUCACACCAGUGGCGGCCCGUGGUUGCGGUUUUGAGCAAUCUAUGUCGGUUGACGGACACAGAAGAUCAUCAGUUCGAUCCUGAUAGCUGGCA